rnacentral:rRNA from 1 species
GCGACGGGUGAGUACACGUGGGCAAUCUGCCCUUCACUCUGGGACAAGCCCUGGAAACGGGGUCUAAUACCGGAUAUCACUUCCCAAGGCAUCUUGGGGGGUCGAAAGCUCCGGCGGUGAAGGAUGAGCCCGCGGCCUAUCAGCUUGUUGGUGAGGUAACGGCUCACCAAGGCGACGACGGGUAGCCGGCCUGAGAGGGCGACCGGCCACACUGGGACUGAGACACGGCCCAGACUCCUACGGGAGGCAGCAGUGGGGAAUAUUGCACAAUGGGCGAAAGCCUGAUGCAGCGACGCCGCGUGAGGGAUGACGGCCUUCGGGUUGUAAACCUCUUUCAGCAGGGAAGAAGCGAAAGUGACGGUACCUGCAGAAGAAGCGCCGGCUAACUACGUGCCAGCACCGGGGGAAAUACG